GUAGAAAUCGACUGCAAACUUCUUCAAAUGCUGGGCCGGAUGGUGCGGAUCGGUGAGUGCCAGCAGCUCCAGACAAUUCUCAGCCGACAUCCGGUGAAUCAACUGAGUUUCACACUCGAGUUUCAGCUGUUCCAGCAUAUAUUUAUCGGUGGCAGCCAAGAGAGCAGCAGUCAACUUCUCCAACGGCACCCGGCCGGUGUAAAUGAAGCGGAGAACUUCCUGGAACACGUCCGGAUGGACAUCUGGAAUGUCUACGUGAUUGGACAGCUUCUCCGCCGUUUCAUGGACAAACAUGGCAGCGAAUACUUUACUUCUGGAUGCCAAAACGGCCUUGUGAGCCUCAAAGCUACGACCACCGACGUCUAGAGUCACAUCGGUCAAUGUCCUGUUGUGGAAGAGUUCUUCUAAUUGAUUCCGGAGCAGCUGAUCGCUGGAACUGAACGGAUUAAUAGGACCGUGACGGGUGUUGUCGUUCCCAGCAGCAACCGGUGGGUCUGAGGGAAAAUUUUCUCGCGUUUCCUGUUCAGAAUGGCAACUUUCACUCUCACCUCGGCCAGCUUGACGCAGUUGUUGUUGACGCUGUUGAAAAGAUGCAGAUUAACUUUGAAAUCGGCGGAGGCAUCGUUGGGACCGUCUUCGCAGAGUGUCAGGUGCCACUUGUUGCGGGGGUUUUCUUCUGAAUAAAAUUCGGACGAUUUCAACGGAGGAAUCCAUUUGCCCCAAGGCCCUUCCAGCACCAAUCCGUGGAUGGUCCACUCGAAACUGAAACUGACAAGUUCGCAUCUCGUAUCGCACCAACUGUCCGCCAGCAACGGCCUUAAAGGUCCUACAGGUAUCGCCAUUUUCUCUUAAUAUCUGUACAAGGAUUUACUUUAGUAAAUAAACGUAAUUCACUCAGGGAACAAUCAACCUCUACUGGCGAUAAAAUCAAGAAUACUGCUGACAUUUUCUCUAGUUGAAUUGAACUGUACCUUAUGAGACUAUCAACGUCGAGCAAGCGUCAAAUGAGCCCAAAGGCAAUAUGUUAUUUAGAUUUUAGUCAUUUCUUUAUGGUUAAUAAGAUUCCGAAAAAUACUAACGGGAUAAUUCCAGAUGCAUUUUUCAAAGCUCUGGGGAGAGAUGGGGAUGGCCCAAAUUAUUAUAAACCGCAAAUUUAACUUCCUUUUUCGUCCCCCGGACCGGUUUCUCGGAGCAACUUUAUUUAUGGACAUGAGUUAUCAGUUGUCUUCACGUCGAGCGAUGUCAGCCUUUAAAUAACGAAGACAGGUUUCCAUCGUCAAACAUUCGUACAGUUUAAUUAGAUGGCUCUUUCAACUGCUGCCCUGUUUAUUUAUCGCCUCCCGGAAUUGGCUCAGAUCCACUCGCAAAUUAAAUGCAACAAUUUGUUUUUCAGCAUAAUUAAACAACCUGAAAUCUUUGCCCACCUUUUCAAUACCUUAACACAAAGCCAGAGAACACGGUUAAACGUAUAAGGAAUGUAUUGAAUAAAACAAAACGAAAAUG